rnacentral:lncRNA from 1 species
GUGACCUGCCCACCUCGGCCUCCCAAAGUGCUGGAAUGGCAGGCGUGAGCCACCACGCCCGGCCCAUCUGAGGGGUUAUCUACUGAGGGGACCCCAGAGUCUCAGCUCCUGGUCUCAUCGUACCCCCUGGCUGACCCUGAACCACCUCCUGGCUCAUCCACAUGCUCUUCCCACACCUGCAAGAACCGAGGUGUGGUGGGGCCGAGUGCCCAAUGCAAGAGAUUGGACUCACGUGUUUUUCAGAGAUUUUAUUAAGAAUAAGGCAUAUGACAGUCACCCCUAAAGCACAGGGCUCUAUUUCUGUGGGUGAGUGAAUACACUCUGAAAAGCAUUGGAUACAAAAGCGCAGCCAACAGAGAAUUUGGAGCAGGGUCCCUCUGCCCUGCCACAGGGCUCCUGCCAGGUGGGUUUGAAGCCCUGCACAUCCCCCAUUCAAGGCUGGCAUGUCCAGGAGAAGGUGCUUGGAGACCCCCGGCUCCCCGCGCUUCGAAGCUGCCCCACACCCUCUAGGCCUCCUUCCUCUCUCCACCAGGGGGGACGCCAUCCUACUGCUUAUAUGGGGAAGGGUUAUCCCAUUUUGGCCCUGGACUAGUCCCCCAAGCUAGAGGGUGCUGUGGCUGAGCUGUGGGGGCCAGGGGUACAGAGCCUCAAACCGCACUGCCCAGUGCUCCCUGGCUGAUUUCCAGAGCAGGGGGAGGUCCCCACCUGCAGCUCUGUGUCCUGGAGCUGUCCAUACUUGGGGUGUGGCAGGAGCUCCGCCUAGGGACCUGAGUGUCCUCUUCAACACUCUCUCUCCCAAUGGGGAUUCGUGCAGCAGAGGAGAGAGAAAUGCAGUCCUUUCCCUUCUUAGUCACCAAGAUAUUCCAGGGGCCAGGAGCGCGUGGGGGUGCGAGGUUUCCCUUUGGCCAGGUGGGCUCUCAAGCCAGACCCAGGGAGGGUGGGGAGGGGAAUUUCUGUGAAAACUGGAACCCUGUAUCUGCUACAGGUGCUCCCCCAGCUUGCCUUAUUUCCUUUCCCAGGCACCUCCAGCACCUCAGCUGAGAGUCAGUGAGUCAGCUGCCCCAGCACCCAGAACCUUUCAUCUAGGGGAUCUCCAAGCACCUCACAAACAAUUGUCAUUAUCUGUGGUUGCUGGAAGAGGGAUGGGAGUUGGGUGGAGCUGAUGGGGUCACUUCGGGAGAAGCAGGCAGGCCACUGGAAGAUCCCUGGGACCAGAGUGCGGUGGGGGCCCCUAGCUGGACACCCUGGAUGCCCAGGAGGGAAGGGGGAAGGGGGCUAUUGCUAUAGAGCUGGGGGGAGGCCAGGCGGACGGAGCUAUGGCUUUUAGUGGGUGGGUGGGCAGAUAGAGUACUUCACCAUCUCUGCAGAAGAAUCGACCUAACAAAGUCACCCUGUUCACCCCAAAAGUGUGGUCGUGGGAGAUGAGGGUCUGUGCACGCUCCUCUGGAAAGAGACUUUGCCCUUCUUCCCACAGUCCUCUGGGCACCUCCGAGAGAGGAGUGAGGCCCUCACACACAAGACAGGUUCUGAAAGGGAGGGGGACAGAAUAGGGGUGCAGUGAGUUACACACACUUGAGGGGGGACAGAGAUGGUACAGGCGCAACCACAGGACUAGUAGAGAGUAGAGGUGGGGGCAGGCAGAGCAAGGACCCCAGGCCACCUUCUUGGCCCAAGUUGGACUGGAGAGCACUGUCCCAAGGGUGCCCCAACCUCAGCCAUCUGCAUCCCAGGAGCUGGACACCCCAGACCAGGCGUGGUUAUUGCUCAGUGGUCUUGGGCAGUCCCGAGUGGCGUCAGCUGGGAGAGCCGCACAUUGCUUGGCCCUGAGUGCGCUCGCUCACUGGUUUCUACUUCUUGCCAAUUUCCUGCUCCAACAAAUGGAGAGAAAGGGGGUGUGAUCUGGGACUCCCCCUUCUUCAUGGGGCUGUGAUGGGAGAAGAGCUCGUCACCCCUAGAGCUUGACUCUGCUCACCUCCCAGACCCCUGCGUGACAGAAUGUGUGGCCUCAGCCAGGGUCAGGACCUGUCAGGAAAGGGGUGUCUGUGAGGGAGGCAAAGGCCUCUCCCUGCCCCACGUCCUCCCCUCGAAGCCCCUGGAAGACCUCACAGGCACUUAGGACUUGAUGCAGGACCCACACAGGAGGGAUGGCACGGGCUGGAGGGGUUUGUGUUUCCUUCUAGGCUGGGCUGGGGGUGGGGGAAUAAGCUGCGCUGAAACUGUCCUUCCUGCCUUUGGUGGUGGACGGGGAGCUUGGGAGAAGGGGCGUUAGGAGGUGGGGCUUUCCCCUUUCCACGUCGCCAUUCCCCAGGCUAGACAGCAGGGAACUGAGCAGCCCGCCACUGCCAGAUUCUGAUAGGUUUAGGGGCAUCCGUGGAGGGGGCCAGGAUGGGGACUAACCUGUGCUCCCACCAUCCCCCCAGCAAACACAAACCCAAACUCCUAUCAGUAGCUGCCACUUCCAAGAAGCCAGGCCCUUCUUCUUUUUUUCGUUUUUGAGACGGAGUUUUGCUCUUGUUGCCCAGGCUGGAGUGCAGUGGCGCGAUCUUGGCUCACUGCAACCUCUGCCUCCCAGGUUCAAGCGAUUCUCCUGCCUCAGCCUCCGGAGUAGCUGGGAUUACAGGCGUGCACCACCACGCCCGGCUAAUUUUUGUAUUUUUUAGUAGAGACGGGGUUUCACCACGUUGGCCAGGCUGGUCUCGAACUCCUGACCUCAGGUGAUCCGCCCACCUCGGCCUCCCAAAGUGCUGGGAUUACAGGAGUGAGCCACCGCGCCCAGCCAAGGCUCUCUUCUUCUUGUCUCUGGGUGCAGCCAGCUGAUUAGGAAGCCGAGCAACAUUAGCACCAAUAAACAGGACCAGGAAAACGCCUGGGGCUGCCUCCUGAGAAGGAAGACAGCUCCUGCCUUCCAGAAGCCUGGCCAGCAGCAGGCCUGUCACCUCCCUUCCCCAGCAGAGCUCCCAGUCCCUGCAUACCCAGCGGGGUGGCGACUCGGGAAGAGCUGAGCUGGAGACGGCUCUAGACCAAGUCCGGCCAACCAGGCGGUUCUGUAAUCCUCUCCCAGGGCCCAUGGAAGUUAGGCUUCCAUCAGGCGCACUUUUCCCACCAGGGGCUCUGGGAGGACGUGUCUUCUAAAGUGUUCCGUGCUCACCUGCAAGGACCUAUCGGCAGGGUCAGGGUGGGGGUAGAAGGACCAGCCCCUAGCCUGGGCCUCUCCUGGGGAGGAAGAAGGCUUGGCGGGAAGGGCGUCGGCGCGGGGGUGGGGGAGGCGGGGGGUGGGGAGCUAGAGGGCCUGGGGCGCCAAUGCCACUCUGCGUCCCUUUCCGUAGAGAAGGUGCCCCCGCUCGGCCCCGCGGAGGAACUCUCGCGCGAGGAGAGGGCUCGAAGCUUUGGAAACGUCGGGAAGUACAAAAGGCUGGCGGUUCGGGGAUUUGGGGGGAGCCGGGGCCGCCUCGCCCCGCUUCCUGGAGGAGGGGCGGCUGCCCUCCGACCCGGGACCUGCCUGCGGGGACCGAGCUGCGUCCCUGGCCGGCCCUCCCCGUCCGUCCCGCGUCACCCCGGCCAGCCUGGCGCCUACUCCGGGUCCCCGGGCGCGCUGGGCUGGCUGGGCGCGGGCUGCGGGCCGGCUCGGUCCGGGGGCUCCUGGGGAGGCGGCU